rnacentral:rRNA from 1 species
CUCCAGAGUGGAUCCUGAGUACGGCGGAACACGUGAAAUUCCGUCGGAAUCCGGGAGGACCAUCUCCCAAGGCUAAAUACUCCCUAGUGACCGAUAGUGAACCAGUACCGUGAGGGAAAGGUGAAAAGCACCCCGGAAGGGGAGUGAAACAGUUCCUGAAACCGUGUGCCUACAAGUAGUUAGAGCCCGUUAAUGGGUGAUAGCGUGCCUUUUGUAGAAUGAACCGGCGAGUUACGAUUUGUUGCAAGGUUAAGCGGAAAAAGCGGAGCCGUAGCGAAAGCGAGUCUGAAUAGGGCGCAUAAGUAACAGGUCGUAGACCCGAAACCAGGUGAUCUACCCAUGUCCAGGAUGAAGGUAAGGUAAUACUUACUGGAGGUCCGAACCCACGCACGUUGAAAAGUGCGGGGAUGAGGUGUGGGUAGCGGAGAAAUUCCAAUCGAACUUGGAGAUAGCUGGUUCUCUCCGAAAUAGCUUUAGGGCUAGCCUCGAGGUAAAGAGUCAUGGAGGUAGAGCACUGUUUGGACUAGGGGCCCUUCUCGGGUUACCGAAUUCAGAUAAACUCCGAAUGCCAUGUACUUAUACUCGGGAGUCAGACUGCGAGUGAUAAGAUCCGUAGUCGAAAGGGAAACAGCCCAGACCACCAGUUAAGGUCCCCAAAUAUAUGUUAAGUGGAAAAGGAUGUGGGGUUGCUUAGACAACCAGGAUGUUGGCUUAGAAGCAGCCACCAUUGAAAGAGUGCGUAAUAGCUCACUGGUCGAGUGACCCCGCGCCGAAAAUGUACCGGGGCUAAACAUAUUACCGAAACUGUGGAUGAACCUCUUUAGAGGUUCGUGGUAGGAGAGCGUUCUAAGGGCGGUGAAGUCAGACCGGAAGGACUGGUGGAGCGCUUAGAAGUGAGAAUGCCGGUAUGAGUAGCGAAAGAAGGGUGAGAAUCCCUUCCACCGAAUAUCUAAGGUUUCCUGAGGAAGGCUCGUCCGCUCAGGGUUAGUCGGGACCUAAGCCGAGGCCGAUAGGCGUAGGCGAUGGACAACAGGUAGAGAUUCCUGUACCAGUGCUAAUUGUUUAACCGAUGGGGUGACACAGAAGGAUAGGGAAUCGCACGAAUGGAAAUGUGCGUCCAAGCAGUGAGUGUGAGAAGUAGGCAAAUCCGCUUCUCGCGAAGCAUGAGCUGUGAUGGGGAAGGAAAUUAAGUACGGAAGUUCCUGAUUUCACGCUGUCAAGAAAAGCCUCUAGGAAGAGUAGUACUGCCCGUACCGCAAACCGACACAGGUAGAUGAGGAGAGAAUCCUAAGGUGAGCGAGAGAACUCUCGUUAAGGAACUCGGCAAAAUGACCCCGUAACUUCGGGAGAAGGGGUGCUCUAUUAGGGUGCAAGCCCGAGAGAGCCGCAGUGAAUAGGCCCAGGCGACUGUUUAGCAAAAACACAGGUCUCUGCAAAACCGUAAGGUGACGUAUAGGGGCUGACGCCUGCCCGGUGCUGGAAGGUUAAGAGGAGUGCUUAGCUUCGGCGAAGGUACGAAUUGAAGCCCCAGUAAACGGCGGCCGUAACUAUAACGGUCCUAAGGUAGCGAAAUUCCUUGUCGGGUAAGUUCCGACCCGCACGAAAGGCGCAACGAUCUGGGCACUGUCUCAACGAGAGACUCGGUGAAAUUAUAGUACCUGUGAAGAUGCAGGUUACCCGCGACAGGACGGAAAGACCCCGUGGAGCUUUACUGCAACCUGAUAUGGAAUGUUUGUACCGCUUGUACAGGAUAGGUAGGAGCCGAAGAGACGUGUGCGCUAGCAUACGAGGAGGCAAUGGUGGGAUACUACCCUGGCUGUAUGACCAUUCUAACCCGCCACGCUUAGCGCGUGGGGAGACAGUGUCAGGUGGGCAGUUUGACUGGGGCGGUCGCCUCCUAAAGAGUAACGGAGGCGCCCAAAGGUUCCCUCAGAAUGGAUGGAAAUCAUUCGCAGAGUGUAAAGGCACAAGGGAGCUUGACUGCGAGACUGACAAGUCGAGCAGGGACGAAAGUCGGGCUUAGUGAUCCGGUGGUUCCGCAUGGAAGGGCCAUCGCUCAACGGAUAAAAGCUACCCCGGGGAUAACAGGCUUAUCUCCCCCAAGAGUCCACAUCGACGGGGAGGUUUGGCACCUCGAUGUCGGCUCGUCGCAUCCUGGGGCUGUAGUCGGUCCCAAGGGUUGGGCUGUUCGCCCAUUAAAGCGGCACGCGAGCUGGGUUCAGAACGUCGUGAGACAGUUCGGUCCCUAUCCGUCGCGGGCGCAGGAAAUUUGAGAGGAGCUGUCCUUAGUACGAGAGGACCGGGAUGGACACACCGCUGGUGUACCAGUUGUUCCGCCAGGAGCAUCGCUGGGUAGCUAUGUGUGGCAGGGAUAAACGCUGAAAGCAUCUAAGCGUGAAGCCCCCCUCAAGAUGAGAUUUCCCAUUUCUUCGGAAAGUAAGAUCCCUGAAAGAUGAUCAGGUAGAUAGGUUUGGAGUGGAAGUGUAGCGAUACAUGGAGCGGACAAAUACUAAUCGAUCGAGGACUUAACCAAAA